GCAAAACAAAAACAAAAACAUGGCAUGCUUCAUUAAGGGUCAUGUCCUAACUUCUAUUUGAAUGUCAAACUAUCAAAUCAAGAAUGCAGGAACAAGCAGAAGGUUGCCAACAGUAUUAAGUAUUAAGGUCUGGACUAUACCCAGAGCACCACUGACCACUGAUGACCAAGUUGAGCAUAUGGCCUGCCACAUAUGUGGGACUAGAAAACAGUGCUUGCAACUGUCUCCCCUGUCCCUGAGUGCUGACCUGUAAAUGUGUGUUAGAGGCAACUCUAUGCCAUUCUCAG